rnacentral:rRNA from 1 species
GACGAACGCUGGCGGCGUGCUUAACACAUGCAAGUCGAACGGAAAGGCCCUGCUUGCAGGGUGCUCGAGUGGCGAACGGGUGAGUAACACGUGGGUGAUCUGCCCCUUACUUUGGGAUAAGCCUGGGAAACUGGGUCUAGUACUGGAUAGGACCAUGCUGUAGGUGGUGUGGUGGAAAGAUUAGUUUCGGUAAGGGAUGAGCGCGCGGCCUAUCAGCUUGUUGGUGGGGUAAUGGCCUACCAAGGCGUCGACGGGUAGCCGGCCUGAGAGGGUGGACGGCCACAUUGGGACUGAGAUACGGCCCAGACUCCUACGGGAGGCAGCAGUGGGGAAUAUUGCACAAUGGGCGCAAGCCUGAUGCAGCGACGCCGCGUGGGGGAUGACGGCCUUCGGGUUGUAAACUCCUUUCAGCCAUGACGAAGCCCUUGUGGUGACGGUAGUGGUAGAAGAAGCACCGGCUAACUACGUG